GACGAACGCUGGCGGCGUGCUUAACACAUGCAGGUCGAGCGGUAAGGCCCUUUCGGGGGUACACGAGCGGCGAACGGGUGAGUAACACGUGGGUGACCUGCCCUCAGCUCUGGGAUAAGCCUGGGAAACCGGGUCUAAUACUGGAUAUGACUCCAUGACGCAUGUUGGUGGGGUGGAAAGCCUUGUGCGGCUGAGGAUGGGCCCGCGGCCUAUCAGCUUGUUGGUGGGGUGANGGCCUACCAAGGCGACGACGGGUAGCCGGCCUGAGAGGGCGACCGGCCACACUGGGACUGAGACACGGCCCAGACUCCUACGGGAGGCAGCAGUGGGGAAUCUUGCGCAAUGGGCGAAAGCCUGACGCAGCGACGCCGCGUGAGGGAUGACGGCC
rnacentral:rRNA from 1 species